rnacentral:rRNA from 1 species
GAUGAACGCUGGCGGCGUGCUUAACACAUGCAAGUUGAACGAAGUGGCGGAUGGGCGAGUAACACGUGAGGAACCUGCCUUUCACAGGGGAAUAACACUGGGAAACCAGUGCUAAUACCGCAUAGUGAAAGAGGGCCUCGCGCCUGAUUAGCUCUUCGGUGCGGUAACGGCUCACCUAGGUGAUGUUCAGUAGCAGGACUGAAGGGUAAUCGGCCGCAUUGGGACUGAGACACGGCCGAGACUCCUACGGGAGGCAGGAGUGGGGAAUAUUGGGCAAUGGCGCAAGCAUGACCCAGCAACGCCGCGUGAAGGAAGACGGUCUUCGGAAUGUAAACUUCUUUAGACAGGGACGCGGUACCUGUAGAAUAAGCCACGGCUAACUACGUGCCAGCAGCCGCGGUAAUUC